AAUGAUCCCUGAAAGUAUAGUCUUAAUGGCCUCCUCGCACACCUCUGCUAGGAGGCCGUUAAGACUAUACUUUCAGGGAUCAUUUCUAUAGUGUGUUACUAGAGAAGUUUCUCUGAACGUGUAGAGCACCGAAAACCACGAGGAAGAGAGGUAGCGUUUUCUCCUGAGCGUGAAGCCGGCUUUCUGGCGUUGCUUGGCUGCAACUGCCGUCAGCCAUUGAUGAUCGUUCUUCUCUCCGUAUUGGGGAGUGAGAGGGAGAGAACGCGGUCUGAGUGGUUUUUCCUUCUUGAUGGCUCAAUGACAGAGACUAGCUCGUAAACUCCGGGGCGUUUCUGGGCUGUUCGCUCCUGCUUGGCAUGUCGCGAGAAAGGUUUUCGCCUCCUGUUUCAGCGGUGACGGCUCUUGGGUUUUCUCGGGGUGGCUUUUUAAUUUUAGUCUUGGCGCGAGGCGGGGGAUGCUGUGUGGCACCUCCUAUUGUCUCUUUUUGCGUUUUCUCCCAUUCUCGCUCCCUCUUUUGUCGCCGUUUCCCGCCCGCCACUCCCACCCCCAGACGGGGUCUCCGGGUCUCUUGUUCUGUCUGCCGGCCCCGGCUGGAUUGCAGUGGCGCGAUCUCGGCUCCUAGCAACAUCUGCCUCCCGGGCUCAAGCGAGUCUCCCGCCUAAGCCCUCCCGAGUAGCCGGGGCUUAAAGGCGCACACGCCACUCCAGGCUUUUUUUUUUUUUUUUUUUUUUUUUUUGGCAGAAACGGGGUGUCAGCAUGUUAGCCAGGCUGGUCUCCAACGCGUGAUCUCAGGUGAUCCGCCCGCCUCGGCCUCCCGAAGUUCUGGGAUUACAGGCGUGAGCCACUGCACCCGGCCCUUCUAUUUUUUUAAAUAGCGACGGGGUUUCACCAUGUUGGCCAGGCUGCUCCUGAACACCUGAGUUCAGGUGAUCCGCCCGCCUCGGCCUCCCGAAGUUCUGGGAUUACAGGAGUGAGCCACCGCGCCCGACUGAGAACUGUAAGAAAUAAAUUUGUGUUAUUUAAGCCACAAAGUCUGUGUAUUUUGUUAUGGAGCCCAAGAAAAGCAGCUUCUUCUGAAACUAAACACUUUCGGUAUGAUCAGAACUCGUGCCUCUUGGUGUCUACCCAAAUGAGUUGAAAAUGUCCACACAAAAACCUGCACACCUGUUUAUAGCAGCUUUAUCCAUAAUUGCCAAAACUUGGAACUAAGAUGUUCCUGAAUAGAGCCAGCGGCUGUGGCUUGUGUCUGUAAUCCCUGCUACUUGGGCAGCUGAGGCAGACAGUCAGUCACUUGAGAUAAGCAGUUUGAGACCAGUCUGGGCAACAGAGUGAGACCCCAUCUCUAUAAAAAGUACUUUUAGGGCCGGGUGCGGGUGGCACGCCUGUAAUCGCAGAACUUCGGGAGGCCGAGGCGGGCGGAUCACCUGAACUCAGGUGUUCAGGAGCAGCCUGGCCAACAUGGUGAAACCCCGUCGCUAUUUAAAAAAAUAGAAGGGCCGGGUGCAGUGGCUCACGCCUGUAAUCCCAGAACUUCGGGAGGCCGAGGCCGGCGGA
rnacentral:lncRNA from 1 species